UCGGGAAUUUUGGGCAAUGGGCGAAAGCCUGACCCAGCAACGCCGCGUGAAGGAUGAAAUCCCUCGGGAUGUAAACUUCAUAAGAACGGGAAGAAUAAGCCGGUGUUAAUACCACCGGUGAUGACGGUACCGUUAGUAAGCUCCGGCUAACUCCGUGCCAGCAGCCGCGGUAAUACGGGGGGAGCAAGCGUUGUUCGGAUUUACUGGGCGUAAAGGGCGCGUAGGCGGCCACCGCAAGUCGACUGUGAAAUCUCCGGGCUUAACCCGGAAAGGUCAGCCGAUACUGCGGGGCUAGAGUGCAGAAGGGGCAACUGGAAUUCUCGGUGUAGCGGUGAAAUGCGUAGAUAUCGAGAGGAACACCUGCGGCGAAGGCGGGUUGCUGGGCUGACACUGACGCUGAGGCGCGAAAGCUAGGGGAGCGAACGGGAUUAGAUACCCCGGUAGUCCUAGCCUUAAACGAUGAAUGCUUGGUGUCUGGGGUUACAUAGUCCCCGGGUGCCGUCGCUAACGCUUUAAGCAUUCCGCCG
rnacentral:rRNA from 1 species